GAGAAAAAAAGCAGUAGAAAGGUGAUGGCACACGACCCGAGUCAUCGAGGUGUCGUCGCCUUUCUCUAAGAAAGAGAAGGAAAUAUCUUCUUUUUUUAUCUUUUUCUUUUUCUUUUUCUUCUUCUUCUUGUUCUUCUUCUUCGUUGACGUCUUCCUCAUCUUUCUUCACGGUUUCCUCCUCUUCUAGUGGGAGGUACUAAAAUUAGAGAAGACGGUGCGAAGAACGGUCCAGUCUUGUAGCUUCUUUCGAACACUUCCAAAUGGUCCUUCGUAGCGAUAACACGUUUUCGCGUGCAUCUCGCCGGUGAGUAGUUCGAUAUACUCUGUUUAGAAAACAGACGAGUCGUUUCGUAUAUCGACGUAAUAUCGAUCGUCCUAGCCCCGUCAUGAGUCGCCGAAGAGAACACCGACGUACCUUGACUCGAUUCUCUAACGGACGAUAAUUGCGAGCAAUCGAUUUUUAACGAUCGAUGAAAGUUCUAUAAAAUUUCUAAGGUGGAUUCGUUUCGACCACCCCUUCGAAAUGUCUCGAGUAUCGAUCCAUGGAAGAUUUAUAGUUAUUAUCGUUGUCGUCUGUAUUAUCAAUCUUACGAGAGUCGAGGGUAGGAAGUGCGUGUGCACGAGCAAAGAUUGUAAAGAAGCUGGGGAAGACACCUGCGAGACAAAAUACUUCUGUUACACCGAACUGAUUCUCUUCACUGAUCAGGAGUUUGGUGAAAAUACGACAACGCGAGGAUGCACGCAGAGCCCGACGCCAUUGUUGUGCGAGACAAAGUCUUGGGUCACGAGGUCAAAGCUAUCGACGUUGUCAUCGUCGUCGUCGUCGUCGUCGUCGUCGUCGUCGUCUUUUCACGACGACGAGGAAGACGAAAUCGUUGAAAAUCGUCGUGUCUCGUCGACGAGACCUUGGAUACGAAUGCCCUGGCCAAGAUUAAAGUGUUGCGACAGUCAAGAUUAUUGUAACGCUGAUCAUCUCGGCGACUUGUCCACAUGGAUUCCUGAAAGAGGAAAAGAAGAGGGGAAGAAGAGAAAGAAGAUCGAAGAAAAAGUAGAACAAGUGGAAAAGGAAGACAAAUUUUCGAUCGAAAGGAUGAACCAAGAUAAUAAUUCAACGUCUAACGCAAGAAUAAAUCAAAACAACGAUUUCCAAUCGAUCAAUAGAUUUAACCAAAAUAACAAUCUGAUAUCGCUAGACUCGAAUAGGCCGUUCACGAAUUCUUCAAGCAGCAAUCGAGAUCAAAUUAUUUCGAUCACUUCGAACUCGAUAUCAACGAUCGACGAAGAUCUUAAUUUGGAUCAAUUUUUGCAACAUCGGGUAAGGCCGCUCCACGUCGCUGCUUUUGUACUUGCGAUAGCUGCAUUGAUAUCCGUCCUGGCUGCCUGCUACGUCAUUACGAGAGCUUUAUCUUCUCUACGUCGUACGAGUAGGAAGGAUAAGAAAAAUGCUUUGCUAAAGGAAACACGUCGGAGGAAUAUUUUGCGAAUAUACAACUUGAGUUGCCGAUAAUCUUGGAAUAUAAUAAAUGUUAAGGUUCUUGAAGAGCAAUCCGUACGUGAUUGGCAGCGUGGAAUAACAAUGAUGACGAAUCAAGAAGCUUCGUCCUAUUUGAAAAAUUUGUCUUCAGCGUGGGUCGUUGGGGCAUAACACAUGGAUGGCUACGAGACAAAGAAUAUUUCGUGAAGCACUCGACAGAGACAGUUUCCUGGCAAACACAACGACUCGUUUGGCGCCUAUGUAACGUCCCUAUGUGCAUCAUGACGCAGCCAUGUGGAGACCAACGUCCUUCGAAAUUCCAUCUACUUAGAAAACGGGGACUAAAAGUUUUACCAACAUCGGUACCAGGUGUUCCAACGAUUUUAACAUUAUUAGUCAUCGGUAGGGUCGCUUUCCUAACACUCCAAAAGGUUAUAAAUGCUCGAAAGAAAGGGAAAGGUACACUCGUUGAACGUAGAAAUCGUUUUCGUAUGAUUAUGGGGACUAUUUCGAACGUCUCUUGUUGGACACGAUUGUCACACAUCGAAGUGUGUUUUCCAACUAUUACAAAAGCGUUAUAGCUUUUCUUUCUCUGUAUAAAUAGCGUGUAAAUAACUGCGACUGUACAUACACGUUUAUAUUAUAUCUUAUGGUCGAUGGGAUUCGUAAAGUAAUUAAUUCGUGUUAACAGAGUGUUUCUUAAGUACUCUUAAUAUUUUAUUGCUGUUAUAUUUAGAGAAAAAAGAUAGGAAAUUUGUUAAAAACGUUGUUCAUUACGAAAUUUUAUAGCGAUUAUUCAAAUUUAACCACGAGUACUUGAGUAACACUCUCAAGAGAUAUGAAUAUAUAAGAGCGAUUUAUAUUUUUUGAAUAAGUAUAAAAUAUUUAAUUAAGCGCGAUUAAAUUCAAUCUCGUUUCGAUAGGCGAGUAAUUAUCAAGGAAGGAAUACGCAUAUUUUGCAAGUGAGCGAUACCGAAAUAAUCGAGUAUGAUUUAAAUUCAAGCAGAAAAAGCGUGACAAGAUGAAAAAGAGCGAGAGAGAGAGACUGGUCGUGGCGCGUUCGAUUUGUUGGCCUAAAUGAGUCACGUAGAAUGCAACAAGACGGGAAUAAGAUCUUACAGAGCGAAUACAGGCCGUCCGACGGUAGCUGGCAUCCGGGAACUUGAGUUGGACAGCGCUCUACGAUCAGAUAUGUCGAGUGAAAAGUAAAUAUAUUUAGUGAGAAGGACUUCGCUAGAUAGAUUUACCAACACGUUCAUCGAAAUGAUCUCUUGGGAGUUUUUGCUAAAAGAAACUUUCUUGCUCUCUUCCUGUGAAUGCUUCCGUUGAGAAGUAACAUAAAUCAACGAUAGAAAUCCUUCCUUCAUAAGUUUCGACAAAUUUUUAUUAUCACGAUUUUAACACGGUUCCAAAGAUAGCCGUAGGAAUAUAUUUUUGCGAUAUACGAAUAAGAGAGAGAGACUUCAAGAGAUCGAUCUAUCACAGUUAUUAAGAGUCGAUAGCACAAACGCAAAGACAAAUCUCGAGAGUUUCGAUUUAUAUUUCAGAAUAUCCAGCAUGACGUAUAAAAUAUAUACACAUAUACAUAUAUAUUUAUAUAUGCCUGUACGAUACAAAUGUACCACUAAAUAUAACAACUCGACACGUUUUGCGAAGGCGUACAAGCAAGGCACUCGUUUAUGUAUUCCUUUGCGUUCGCUUAUCCUUGCAAGUUGCGCUUAACGCGAAGGAACGAAUAUACGCGGGAACGUUUUCCUUGGUCAUUCUUGCUAUCGAGAAGUAUAUGUAUUGUACAUACCCCUAUGUAUAUACGAAUGUGUAUAUUUUUUCUCGAUAUCUUUGGAGAUUUGCGAGAAUGCCCCGUGACGAACUUUGCUCCAAGAGAGAGAAAGAGAGAGAACAGAAAGAGAACGUUGAAAAUUUCGUGUCGGUAGUAAAAUUUAAAGAAGAGUCGCCGAGACUUCAGAUAAUACGAUUAAAAAAAAUAAAGAUAAAGAGAGAGAGAGAGAGAGAGAGAGAGAAAGAUAAGACAAACUCGUCGAAAGCUUGCCGUUGUUUUAUUUGUGUAUGCACGCAUACUAGUUAUAUCUAUGUAUUGUGUGUCCAUAUGUCACAGAUGUGUAAUUGUGUAUAUACGAAUAUAUUAUGUGAAUAUGUGUGCGAACUAAAAGGGCGCCAAGAUACUUUUGCCCCUCGUACGCGUUACAACACCCGCCUCGCCGGAGCGAUAAAGGAAUUACAAGAGUACGAAUACAAGCGCGUACGCCGGCGCGAUAAAAGGAAUUUGAAUUUCCUGAAGCGUGAGACCGAAGAUACUACGUGGCAAUAAUACGGACCAAUCGUAAAACAUCUGUUCGUUCGUUCUUAUUUUUCUAACGUUUUAUCGGUUCUUCUUCUUUUCUUUUCUUUUCUUUUCUUUUUUUUUUUUUUUUUUUUUUUAACGGAAAUUAAAAUAUCCCAAUUUUUUACUCAAUCCCCGUGGAUGCCAUUUCGAACAAAUUUCCAAUUUAUCGAAUGUUUUCAAAGGAUCAAAAUAAAAUUAUCGUACGAAUUAA